rnacentral:lncRNA from 1 species
UAAAUACUAACACCUGGAGGUCUGGAGGUGGCUGAGACCUAUUCUAUCUGAUGUGAUAUAUUUUGCUGUGAAUCUGAAAACUAUAUAUACAUAUAUCAUUUGUCUUAUAUUUAGGAUAUAGAGGCCUGGAAACCGAGAGAUGGAUUUAAAAGUACUUCCUCUCAACUGUACUUCAAAUGGCCCUUCAGAUUCAUUUUUCUCCUGUUUAAUAAUGUCAGCUCUGUUAGUUUAGAGAUCUACUUCCCAACAGAAUAAUGUUUCCACCCAGGGACACAGUGGUUGCAUUUAGUGGUAAGUCAGGAUUGUCAUCCUAGUUUUUUGUACUUUCUGAGUCUCUGAGCCAAUAGAGAAGUUACUGUACUGGCUUGAGUGAUCAGCUGUUAUUAUUAAGAAGAAUGUGAGGUGGAGAGGGGGCAGGAGCAGUAGCUCAAGCCUAAAAUCCCAGCAAAAGAUCACUGGAGGCCAGGAGUUCGAGACCAGCCUAGAUGACAUAGAGACCUCAUUUCUCCAAAAAAAAUUAAUUAGGCAUGAUGAUGCACACUUGGAAGGCUGAGGUGGAAGAAUCACUUGAGUCCCAGAUGUUGAGGCUGUAGUGAACUGGGAUUGCUCCCCUACACUCCAGCUUGGGUGACAGAGCAAGGCAGAAAGAAAAGAAAAGAAAAGGAAAGAGGAGAAAAGAGGAGAAGAGAAGAGAGAAAAGAAAAGAAAGAAAAUAAAAGGAAAAAAGAAAAGAAAAAGAACGAGGGGGUUCCUGUUACAUAUAACGGCAAAGGAGGAGAGUGGAUGGAGUCUAGAAAAUUGUUUAGAUUACCAUUUGGUACUUUAUGUCCAGUGGUAAAAGUUAGUGGAAGACUAUGUCAACUAAAUACAAACAGGAGAACUAAAGCUCAUCAUGUGUCAAAAUAAGGGUUUUGAGUCACCCUGGCAAGCACAGACCCUUCAGUAGGUAUUUUGACUGAGAACAAUGGAAAAUAUAACAGCUAGUGGCUGCUGGAAGUUGUAAGUAACAACAAUGAUAAGAUUAGAAGAACUACUGAAAUGUCCAAAUCUGAGGCACUAUUCAAGAGUCAUUCAUAUUGGAUUCUAUGUAAAGGCACACACUCACAGCACAAAACUAGUGCUAGAACAAAUAUGAAAUAUCACCCCAAAAGUUCUUCAGUGCAGUCUCCUAAGCUAUGAUUUCAUAACUAACAAGGACUGUGAAAAUGAUACAAAUUUUCUUUGUUCUAUAGUCUGUCUAUGCCAUGAUGGUGGUCAUGAAAAUCAAAUUUAUCAGCUCCCAAUUUAUCAGCUAAAUUGACAGGAUGUCAAUUUAGAUUUGUACCUGAGCCACAGGAAUAGUGAUCAUCACCAAAAGAUGAAAGAACUCUUUCGUAGGGGAGAAAGAUAACCCAUCCCUGUUUAUGGGUAAGAGGGUUGCAUUAUAUCAGGAACAUAUUACUGUUGCAAUUCCUGCUGCUUUAUUAGGUUUGUUUGUGGAGUUUCCUAGCGGGAGAAUUAGGAAAGAUAUCAUCAAAAGGUUCCUUCUGAAAACAUUCCAGUUCCCUUUAAGUAUGCCUUUGGUGUUGUGGAUUCUAGAAUGCUAAUCUUUGUCUCUCCAUGAUUCCCACAUAGCCUGGGUCCUGGAUAGGAUUUAGAUUCCACAGAUACUCUCACAGUGCCAUUUGGCUGUAGAAAAGAACUAAAUGUGAAGAAAAGCAGGAUAUAAAACAUUUAUUUGCUGGCAUGUAUAGAAAUAUAACUGGUGUCAUUCUGCUGUCAGCAUGUCAGAAGAUUUUAGACUUUUCUGCAGUGGUUAUGAAAGCUUUAACCAUGUUACAGGGGCAGACUGAUACUGGAGUUUGAAAGCUACUCUUGGAGACAUGGGCUGCCUACUAUUUUGGCCUUCCAACAAUUUUAUAAGAAACUCAAUAGAUAACGAUAAAUACCUUCAAGCUUAAAAUCGCGAUUAUGAUUUCUGCUGUGCGCAAUGAAACUCUGAGUGAAACAGUCCUCCAGGAUUUUGAAGUCCUCUGCAUCCGGGCAGUGGAACAGAAGUGUGGAGAAGAUUCAUCAUCUGCUUCUUAAAUGCCCUAGUCAGAAAGGGGUACUCAUCAUUUCUGUUCAUAUUUUAUACGGCUACAAAUAGAUGUGAGAAGAGCAAGAAAACAUAGUCCUGGCAAGGCAGUUGCCUUCUGAUGACAACUCUGCACUCUGGAGGUAGACAAAUUUUGGUCAAUAGCUGGCAGUUUUAGCCAUAUUAGUCCAGUACUCACCUUCACAAAUGAGGAAACUUAAGACUCGGCCAUUGUUGAUCUAACACAUACUUACUGUUUUUUAUUGUGUUUUCUUGAUCUAAUGGUAUUUUGAAACACAAUGGGUAGGACUAAAAUAUGGACCAUUUGAAAGGAGGAAAUGUUAGAUUAUUAUACUAGGCAAAUAAUGUUGCCAAUAUAUUUGCACAAUUAUGGGACAUAGACUUUCAUUUUCCUGUUUAAAAUAAGUAUGUAGUAUUAAAGAAUUAACAUAAAAUAUGGCAUUAUUAAGAAGAUCUAUGAUUUUGGUGCCUGGUCCUUAUUUAGGAGUUUAGCACCCUGGUUACAUAUAUCAUAAUAAUGAAAAAGCAUUAUUCUGUUUUAUGCUGCCUGCAGAAAAAAAAAGGAUGAAAAAUAGAUACUGUCUGUGCAGUAUGAGCCACAGUAUAAAUGUGCAGAAUAUGAUCUAAGUGGAGGAUAAUAAAAAUUUUGAAAGCAGUAUUUGCAAAACUUGUUCCAAACUUCCUCAUUAAUCAGCACAAAUAUUUUUCUAAGUAUACAUUGGAAGGCCUUUGCACUUAACUCAAUUAUUGAAGUAGUAGGAAAAUUAUGCUCUACUGUGUAUAAAAUAUUUCUAAGCUAUUCAAAGAAGACACUACAAAGAUAUUUAAAGAAGAUACUAUAAUAUAGAAAAACACUUCAUGCAGAUGUAUCAAUUAUUAGUAUCUCAUCACUGUAUGGCGUUCUUAACUAAGUUGAAAUUGUUUUCAAAUACUGGUUGAAUAAGUGAAGAAGGAAAAUUGUAUUGUGUUAACAGAAAUAUGUGUUCAUUCACCCACCCACUGAACACCUAUUUUGUGCCAGACGUUGUUCUGGACACUAGGGAUCCAGCAGGGAAUAAAAUACAUGAGUUUCCCACUUGCUUAUUUUUCCCUUACUUUACAAACCUGGAACUCUUUAAACAACAAACUGAAAAACACCACACAAAAUUAGGCAGCUAUCUUUGAAGAGUGAAUUUGCUUGGAAUUGCCUGCUUUGAGCAUCAUAAGUUUGAUGAGGUAUGAAGCAAAAAUACAGAUGUACAACAUUAAUUAAAAUAACCAGCAAUUCCACCAGAGGAUUCCAAAAGGGAUUUAAAGACUCACCCUGCCAGAACAGAGACGGAGCCAGAAAAGGGUGAUGAAGCAGAUUUACAAGACCGGCUCUCAGAAAAUUUGCUUGGACAUGCAGAACCAUGCUUUCAAGUACUAUUGUUACCAACGCGAAUCUGCAGCGAAAGUGAUCCUUGCCUCUCUGGAGGACAGAAUUUGGCUGAGGGGCAGAAGUAUGUUUAAGGCAGAGGGAGAGACUGAGGCAAGUUUUAGAGCAAAAGUGAGAGUUUAUUAAAAAGUUUUAGAGCCUGAGUGAAAGGAAGCAAAGCACACUUGGAAGAGGGUCAAGUGGGUUCCUUGAGAGAUCCAAGUGCCCCGUCCAACCUUUGGCUUGGGAUUUUAAUACAUUGGCUUGGUUCCGGGAUUUGAGUUUCUCCUCCCUUGAUUUCUCCCUUGCGGCAGGCUGUCCACAGGCACAGUGGCCCGCCAGCACUUGGGAAGGGGUGCAUACACAGUGUGUUUACUGAAGUUGUGUGCAUGCUCACUUGAGGUGUUUUUCCCCUCAUUAGACAAAAAUUCCCAGAGGAAGGUUAUAUACCAGUUAAACUUUGCCAUUUUGCCUCUUAGUGCAUGCUUGAGCCCACUAGCCCAAUCCCUGAGAUCUUAUCGGGAAGCUGCUGCUCCUCCACAGCUCCAGGAGUUUCCUAUUUAUUGGGAGACUGUCGGUCCCUAGUACCAGCUGUGACCAAUUAUAAUUUCAGAGACACAGUUUAACAACCACCUGACCAUUACCUGAUGGUCCCCUGAAGUUCUCUGGGGUUGGGAGAGGCUCUCCUGCCUGGCUCAUGUCUGCCUAACUACCUACUCUAACAUUAUGACUUGGAGAAAUACUUAUUGGGGACUUUUAAAAAACUGCAGAGUAUCAUAAGACUUUUGGCUAUGAGGAUUUACCAGUUGCAGAAUAAAGAAUUUUAAAAUAAUUUGUCUUUGAAGAUAUUACCUUCUGAUAUAUUGCAAGUAAGGUAUUGAGAAGUCAAUAGGGUUUGGUGCCAGGUUUCUGAUGGAGAAUUUGAAGAUACGUGUUUACAUUUCUAUAAAGUAAAUUUGACUGUCUGAGUCACAUAUAUCUUGGUCAUAAUUCACAAUUAUUAGGAAAUUUGAAAAUAAUUUUUUUAACAAAAGCAAAUUUGAGAAAGUCUAUUUUUAAAGUUGCUAAAAUAAGGGGCUCAGUAUAUUUUUAGUAAUUGGAAGACUGGUUGAUUGAGAAAUACAAAUUUUUCAGUAAAAAUGUAUUUUCU